rnacentral:rRNA from 1 species
CCAAUAGCGUAUAUUAAAGUUGUUGCAGUUAAAAAGCUCGUAGUUGAAUUUCGGGAUUGACGUGAUGGUCAUGCCUUAAGGGGUAUGAACUGUUACUGUUGAUUUCUCACCUUCUGGAGAAACUUGAUGUCCUUUAUUGGGUGUCUUGCGGAUCCAGGACCUUUACCUUGAAAAAAUUAGAGUGUUUAAAGCAGGCAUUUUUGCUCGAAUACAUUAGCAUGGAAUAAUAGAAUAGGACGGCAUGGUUCUAUUUUGUUGGUUUCUAGGAUCACCGUAAUUAUUAAUAGGGAUAGUUGGGGGCAUUAGUAUUCAAUUGUCAGAGGUGAAAUUCUUGGAUUUAUUGAAGACUAACUACUGCGAAAGCAUUUGCCAAGGAUGUUUUCAUUAAUCAAGAACGAAAGUUAGGGGAUCGAAGACGAUCAGAUACCGUCGUAGUCUUAACCAUAAACUAUGCCGACUAGGAAUCAGACGAUGUUAAUUUUUUAAUGACUCGUUUGGCACCUUACG